UGGACAAAGUAUCAAAAUUUAGCAUUUUCUGAAAAAUUUCACUAUCGUCUGGUCAUUAUUUAUAUUCUGAUCAUGUGCUUCUUGUAUCAUCUGUGUCAUCGUUGAUAGCGUGAUACCUUUUUGAACAGUUUAACAUGUGAAGAGUUUUUGUUCUUUAAACUGUUUGUGGAAAUUCUACAUUGAACCAAGCUCUUUCGAUCUAUUACAGUGAUUAUCCAUCUUCCUCUCUGUAAAGGGUUGUCAUCGCUUGAACGCAGUGAAGCUUACCCCUAUGUUGUGGCAUGUACAGAUGUUAUCGAGAGGCUUGACGUUUUGAGAGGCCGAGAAAUGGCUUCGUUGUACUCUUGGUCUUACAAGAGAAACUACAAGAAUGGAUUCGUCUGGCAUGAUCUUUGUGAAGCUGACCUCAUUCUUCCUGCUCAUGGUAAUGAAUAUGUUCUUAAAGGCUCAGAGCUUUUCAAUGAUCUGAUGCAGGUAUAUUAUACCUUCUUUAUAGCAAUGUAUGAUUUGAACCACAUGAUUGUUAGUGUAAUUGCAAGUGUCACUGCAAGAAAUAAGAACAAUGGAUGAGUUUGGCUGCAUUAAUUCUUCACUGGAAGUCCCUUGCAAAAUAGUUCUUUCCCUUUUAUUCUUUCUCUACAUAGGUCAUCACAAACUACCUCUCUAUCUUUACAAGGUAGAGGUAAGGUCUGCGUACACUCUACCCUCCCAGACCCACCUGGUGGGAUUAUACAGGGUAUGUUGUUUCAUUGUAUUUGGUGAAACAGAUCCACGGGCAAGAGUUGAACGCCAUUCAGAGUGGCGCUAAGAAAAUAAUCAUUUCUACUCCUACUUUUGUUUUGGUGUCAAUGAGAAGGUAUACGAGCCACUCCCUAGCAGUACUAUUAAUUGAUUCCUCUGCCGAAAGUUCUAAUACUAGCUUGUGCACUCAAGUUGUUGAUGGACCAUCGUUUGAAUGGAAAUUUACGUACAAUGGAAAUAAGAGAACACUAUGUUUGAGGAAACUUUACGUAUACAAUGCGCAUGUUCCUCAUUUAUGUCUUACUUAUAAAUAAUGUAAAGUUGGUUUUUCCACAUUGUUACUGCGUAAGUCGAUGUAAUUCUGAUUCUAAGAUACAAAAGA